UACAGAGGUCCCAAGCGUUGUUCGGAUUCAUUGGGCGUAAAGGGUGCGUAGGUGGCGUCGUAAGUCAGGUGUGAAAUCUCGGGGCUUAACUCCGAAACUGCAUUCGAUACUGCGGUGCUUGAGGACUGGAGAGGAGACUGGAAUUUACGGUGUAGCAGGUGAAUGCGUAGAGAUCGUAAGGAAGACCAGUGGCGAAGGCGGGUCUCUGGACAGUUCCUGACACUGAGGCAGCGAAGGCCAGGGGAGCAAACGGG
rnacentral:rRNA from 1 species